UGGGGAAUAUUGCACAAUGGGCGCAAGCCUGAUGCAGCCAUGCCGCGUGUAUGAAGAAGGCCUUCGGGUUGUAAAGUACUUUCAGCGGGGAGGAAGGGAGUAAAGUUAAUACCUUUGCUCAUUGACGUUACCCGCAGAAGAAGCACCGGCUAACUCCGUGCCAGCAGCCGCGGUAAUACGGAGGGUGCAAGCGUUAAUCGGAAUUACUGGGCGUAAAGCGCACGCAGGCGGUUUGUUAAGUCAGAUGUGAAAUCCCCGGGCUCAACCUGGGAACUGCAUCUGAUACUGGCAAGCUUGAGUCUCGUAGAGGGAGGUAGAAUUCCAGGUGUAGCGGUGAAAUGCGUAGAGCUCUGGAGGAAUACCGGUGGCGAAGGCGGCCCCCUGGACGAAGACUGACGAUCAGGUGCGAAAGCGUGGGGAGCAAACAGG
rnacentral:rRNA from 1 species